ACCUCUCAACUAUGCCCUUCUUUGUGAGUGUGUAUGGUUGGAUGUGAGGGUUGCAGGCUGCGAAGCCAGCUCCUUUGAAAUGCAUUAGCUGGGAACUAGUACAUGGUGUCAAGUGCUUUGAUGCUUGAAGACCUCCUGGUGAGAUAAUUGUCUACGCCGUUGGUUUAGUCAUUGCGCAUAUUUGGGACUAUGGAAUGGGCCUGCUUCUAACUGUCUCAAUUGCGAGACUAGUCCGCUCUAGGGCUACUAUUGACUA
rnacentral:misc_RNA from 1 species